rnacentral:rRNA from 1 species
GACGAACCGUGCGAACGUUAUUCGGAAUCACUGGGCUUAAAGCGCGUGUAGGCGGAUGAGCACGUCUGUCGCUGAAAUCCCCCGGCUCAACCGGGGAAUGGGCGCCGAAACGACCCGUCUGGAGGGACGUAGGGGGACCUGGAACUUCCGGUGGAGCGGUGAAAUGCGUUGAGAUCGGAAGGAACGCCCGUGGCGAAAGCGAGGUCCUGGACGUCUACUGACGCUGAGACGCGAAAGCUAGGGUAGCGAACGGG